CAGCCGCCACGGGAAUACGAAGGGGGCUAGCAUUGUUCGGAAUUACUGGGCGUAAAGGGCGCGUAGGCGGCGGAUCAAGUCAGGCGUGAAAGCCCCGGGCUCAACCUGGGAAUUGCGCUUGGGACUGGUCUGCUUGAGUUCGGGAGAGGUGAGUGGAAUUCCCAGUGUAGAGGUGAAAUUCGUAGAUAUUGGGAAGAACACCGGUGGCGAAGGCGGCUCACUGGACCGACACUGACGCUGAGGCGCGAAAGCGUGGGGAGCAAACAGGAUUAGAGACCCGCGUAGUCCCUGUCUCUUAUAC
rnacentral:rRNA from 1 species